UACGAAAGGUGCAAGCGUUACUCGGAAUCACUGGGCGUAAAGCGCACGUAGGCGGACUCGUAGGUCAGUUGUGAAAUACCUGAGCUCAACUCAGGAAUUGCAGCUGAAACCGCUUGUCUUGAAUACUUGAGAGGGUGGGGGAAUACCUGGUGGAGAAGUGAAAUUCGUAGAGAUCAGGUGGAACACCGGAGGCGAAGGCGCCUGCCUGGCAAUGUAUUGACGCUGAGGUGCGAAAGUGCGGGGAGCAAACAGG
rnacentral:rRNA from 1 species